rnacentral:lncRNA from 1 species
CCUGGGCCUGAAGUAACAGUGGAUGAGGCCAUACCUCUACAGCCCUGGGCCUGAAGUAACAGUGGAUGAGGCCAUACCUCUACAACCCUGGGCCUGAAGUAACAGUGGAUGUGGCCAUACCUCUACAACCCUGGGCCUGAAGUAACAGUGGAUGAGGCCAUACCUCUACAACCCUGGGCCUGAAGUAACAGUGGAUGAGGCCAUACCUCUACAACCCUGGGCCUGAAGUAACAGUGGAUGAGGCCAUACCUCUACAACCCUGGGCCUGAAGUAUCAGUGGAUGAGCACCUGGUUCCAUUCAGAGGUACAUUUCAUAUCUGUAAUGUCGCUGUCCUUUAUGGCAGUAUAUGCCCAGCAAGCCAGCAAAGUAUGGCAUCAAGAUAUGGGUGGUUUGUGAUGCACAAUCCAGCUACGCUUGGAAGAUGCAAGUCUACACAGGGAAGCCGACCAGUUGAGGCCCGGAGAAGAACCAGGAGAUGCGGGUUGUGAUUGAUGUGACAGGGGGACUGAGGGGGCACAAUGUCACGUGUGACAAUUUCUUCCUCUUAUGAACUCAGCUCCUGAAGAGGAAGCUCACCAUGGUUGGCACAGUUAGAAAGAACAAGCCUGAGCUCCCCCUGCAGUCCUCGCAACAAGGGGGAGAGAGGCCUUUCAUCAAAGUUUGCCUUCACCCCCACUCUAGUUUCUUACCUCCCAAAGAGGAACAAGAAUGUGGUCCUCCUGAGCACACUGCACAAAACGGCUGAGAUCAGUGAUCGUGAGGACAGGAAGCCAGCCAUCAUCCUGGACUACAACCACAACAAAGGAGGUGUGGACAACCUGGACAAGGUGAUUGGAACUUACAGCUGCAGGAGGAUGACUGGCCCCUGGUCAUCUUCCAUAACAUCAUUGAUGUGUCCUCAUACAAUGCCUCUGUGAUAUGAAACAAGAUCAACCCUACCUGGAUGCCUGAUCAGCGGAACAUGAGGAGGGUGUUCCUGGAGCAGCUGGGAAAGGCACUUGUAACCCCACACAUUUCAAAAAAGGAGCAACUCCGAGUCACAGCAGUCUCUGCAGCGCUUGUGAAAGCUGUUCAGGGGGCUGAAUCUUGUCCUGAUCCACCGGAGGCUGCAGCUGGGGCAGGCAAGAGGAGGAGAUGCCAAUUCUGCCCCCCAAAGAAGGACUGUAAAACAAAUACUAUGUGCUGCACAUGUGAGAAAUACAUCUGCAAAGUCCAUGCACACACACUUGCAUACUGUCCUACAUGUGCUAAUUAGAGUUGAUUGAUUUAUUUUCUUCACGUUUUUGUUUUGUAUCUAUCUUAUUUUAUUCUAAUUGUUGUUACACCUUGUGGUCAGGGGCAAUGGUUAAAACAUGGGAGAAGAAUAGUAUUUUUGUAGUUGAAUUCCUCAUUAUACAGUAGAUAAGAACAUAUGACUUUGUUGCCAAAAAUGUUCAAGACCGUUGUUUCCCUUUAAUAAAAUGCAUUCUGCACAUUUCUGCUACUUUCUUAGGCCAUACAAGUGCUAUGUCUUGCUAAAAAGUUAUGUUUACACCUACGCGGUACCUUUAGCAUUAAUAAUAAUAAUAAACCUCUACUUUAGUAAAGAAAACAAUUUUGACAGGUGUGUUGUAAUAAAAACGAGUGGUGUCCACUGAUUAAAUGCAGUAUUUCUGCAUUGUAAAGAGGGAAAACACAUAUUCACACAGUUUGUAAUGAAUGACAGGUUGUUUCUUCGUGCAAAAUAGAUUUGGGGUUUAAAGUUCAAUUAAGCUGCUUUAUUUUAGGGGUUUAGUGAAGGCGGGUCAUUUUUUACCCUUAAGACAAGGGGUAUACAGAAUGUUAAAACUACACAAGGGUUAAUCUGAAACUCACCCUGCUCUCUACCUCUUCACUGUCACUCGAUUGAAUGAUGUCAUUCUCUGACCACUCCUCCUUUCCUGAGCUCAUGCUGUGGCAGAUGAAUCCGAAUUAGUUGGGUAACAUAGAUAAUUAAGAUGUUUUAUUUGCAUAAUAUGCUUAUGUGAGAUACUUGUUAUUAGUAUGUAUCUCUUUGGACUGGUGUUGGCAGUUGUACUUCUUCCCUCAGCUGGGGCUCAGUCAACUGGGGCCCAGAGAGGGGAGAGGUCAGGCUUGUCUUUCACAUGUCCCUGGUGCUAUGCAGAAUAUCAGAAAGGGAAGAGGACAGGAGGGAACAUUGUCUUCAUAUGUGAAUGUGUCUUUACCUAUUCUAAACCAUGUGAAGGGAUGGCGUGAUUAAUGGGGAACCAAUUACUUGUCUCCACAAUGUCUGUGAGCAAGUCACUCCCUCCUUUUCCAUUUUGUGGGGUGGUGUAUGGCUGUGUCUGGAACCAUGUAUGUGUGUGUCCUCUCUUAGAUCUUGCACCUAUCCUGGGGUAGUGUAUGACCUAGAGGCUCACUUCCCUCAGUGAGCUUGUCCAGGAGUGGAGUCAAGAGGGGGUUUACUUGAGAUGGGAGUAUCUGGAGUUGACAAUUGAUUUAUGCCAUUGGAUGAGCUAAUGGUUCUGUUCUAUACCGUACCAGGGAGAGACGGUUCCAGUUUGGAGUAGGAGGACCAGACACUGGUCUACACAAUGAAAACUGUUGAUACAGCAGUUGCUGUCUGCUAUGUUUUAUAGAUAUCUUUCAUACAAAACUUAACCUUGUGACCAUUCUAUGUAUCUGUGGUUCGUCAUGUAUAUUGAGGGGUGUAUCUUGGCUAUAAAAGAUCUUUGUACUUUUGUGUAGUCACUUUUUCAAUGGUUCAUUGAAAGUCAAAGUGCUUUUGCAAAAGCAUCUUAAUUAUUAAAGAUGUAAUUUUAAGUAUAACUCUGACUGGUGUGUGAAGUUUAACUCUCCUCAUUUGGUAAUGCAGAAAUUAGCCACCACAAUGCCCUCAACAGACAGAAUAGCAACACCAGCAGAAAUACAGCACCCCUCAUUCUGAAAUGGCACCUCUUCAGAAAUGAUA